rnacentral:rRNA from 1 species
GAUGAACGCUGGCGGCGUGCCUAAUACAUGCAAGUCGAGCGAACGGACGAGAAGCUUGCUUCUCUGAUGUUAGCGGCGGACGGGUGAGUAACACGUGGAUAACCUACCUAUAAGACUGGGAUAACUUCGGGAAACCGGAGCUAAUACCGGAUAAUAUUUUGAACCGCAUGGUUCAAAAGUGAAAGACGGUCUUGCUGUCACUUAUAGAUGGAUCCGCGCUGCAUUAGCUAGUUGGUAAGGUAACGGCUUACCAAGGCAACGAUGCAUAGCCGACCUGAGAGGGUGAUCGGCCGCACUGGAACUGAGACACGGUCCAGACUCCUACGGGAGGCAGCAGUAGGGAAUCUUCCGCAAUGGGCGAAAGCCUGACGGAGCAACGCCGCGUGAGUGAUGAAGGUCUUCGGAUCGUAAAACUCUGUUAUUAGGGAAGAACAUAUGUGUAAGUAACUGUGCACAUCUUGACGGUACCUAAUCAGAAAGCCACGGCUAACUACGUGCCAGCAGCCGCGGUAAUACGUAGGUGGCAAGCGUUAUCCGGAAUUAUUGGGCGUAAAGCGCGCGUAGGCGGUUUUUUAAGUCUGAUGUGAAAGCCCACGGCUCAACCGUGGAGGGUCAUUGGAAACUGGAAAACUUGAGUGCAGAAGAGGAAAGUGGAAUUCCAUGUGUAGCGGUGAAAUGCGCAGAGAUAUGGAGGAACACCAGUGGCGAAGGCGACUUUCUGGUCUGCAACUGACGCUGAUGUGCGAAAGCGUGGGGAUCAAACAGGAUUAGAUACCCUGGUAGUCCACGCCGUAAACGAUGAGUGCUAAGUGUUAGGGGGUUUCCGCCCCUUAGUGCUGCAGCUAACGCAUUAAGCACUCCGCCUGGGGAGUACGACCGCAAGGUUGAAACUCAAAGGAAUUGACGGGGACCCGCACAAGCGGUGGAGCAUGUGGUUUAAUUCGAAGCAACGCGAAGAACCUUACCAAAUCUUGACAUCCUUUGACAACUCUAGAGAUAGAGCCUUCCCCUUCGGGGGACAAAGUGACAGGUGGUGCAUGGUUGUCGUCAGCUCGUGUCGUGAGAUGUUGGGUUAAGUCCCGCAACGAGCGCAACCCUUAAGCUUAGUUGCCAUCAUUAAGUUGGGCACUCUAAGUUGACUGCCGGUGACAAACCGGAGGAAGGUGGGGAUGACGUCAAAUCAUCAUGCCCCUUAUGAUUUGGGCUACACACGUGCUACAAUGGACAAUACAAAGGGCAGCGAAACCGCGAGGUCAAGCAAAUCCCAUAAAGUUGUUCUCAGUUCGGAUUGUAGUCUGCAACUCGACUACAUGAAGCUGGAAUCGCUAGUAAUCGUAGAUCAGCAUGCUACGGUGAAUACGUUCCCGGGUCU